GGCUCUGAUUGGAUGAGUUUCGUCCGGGAGAGACGGGCUCUGUGAGCCUUCAAAGGCGCGUGCGUAAAUUUUGGACCGCGAUGACUAAGAUGUCAGUGCUGGCCAAAGGGGGCGCCGAGAAGCUGAAGGAAAAAAGACGCAGAAUGUUGGAUUAAAGGAGGCAGGAUGGGCCAAAUACUCCUAUACAGUCCACGCAAAGAGGGGUUGGACGAGCUCGGGAGAGAAAGAAAAUGAUAUAUGUCAGAAACUCAGAUAUCCAUAAAGAAAGAAAGCAUUGGGAAAAGAAUAAAUGAAGGCCUGUGGGAGCUGAGGCUGGAAGGACCUUGUAUGUCAUGCUGAGAAGUCUGGACUACAUGUCUUCAGCUGAAGGUUUUUGAGUAGGAGAGGGAUGUGAUUGGAUAUGUGUUGUACAAAGAUAACUUUGCUUUUUAAGAAAACAACUUUAUUGAGGUAUAAUUGAUACACAAUAAACUACACAUACAAUUGCUGAGUUUGGACAUAUGCACAUACCUGUAAAACUAUCAACACAAUCGAGGUAAUAGAGAUAAGAAAGAUAACUUUGAUUACGAGUUUGAGAAAAAUCAGAAGGAUAAGACGCUAGAGACAGACUUGUUAGGAUACUCUUAGAACCUAUGAUUGAAAUAAGAACUAAUUUAAGGACUUUAUGAGUAUUGGCAGUAGAAAUGGAAGAGUGAAGACAAGUUCAAGACAUUUUCUCGGUGGAAAUUUGACCUAAGAUUGAAGUAGGGAGCUAUACUGUCCUCCACAGUGUAAACUAAGUUGCUAUGAGUCAUAUAAAAUAGCAGUAACUAGAAUUUUUUUUUCCGCUUCUACUGAAAGCAUUUAAAGAAUGGUUUUUCUCACCUGUGCAUCUUUUCUUCAAGUUCAUGGUUCAGCUUUAUAAAGACUAGUAUUGUGCUUUCUGGGGCUGUUUUCUUUUAUUGAUCCAUUCAUUCCCCCUCACCUUUCUCCUUUCUUCCUUUUGUGUGUGUGUCCAUCCACACACACUCCUUUCUUUUGAACAAAAAAUAAUUUACUUUCUUAAGACUUACUUGUGGAUAUAAAAUCAUCAUUAUCUUUUGGGCUUAACAUUUAAGACAAUUUCAUACAUGUGAAGCUUAAAACCUAUUUCCCCAAAUAUUUUGCA